rnacentral:tRNA from 1 species
GGAGAGGUGACAGAGUGGCCGAUUGUGCACGACUGGAAAUCGUGUGUCGCGCAAGCGACCGAGGGUUCGAAUCCCUCCCUCUCCG